UACGAAGGGUGCAAGCGUUACUCGGAAUUACUGGGCGUAAAGGGUGCGUAGGUGGCCGGGUAAGUCUGAUGUGAAAUCUCCGAGCUCAACUCGGAAAUGGCAUUGGAAACUAUCCGGCUGGAGGAGUGGAGGGGGGACUGGAAUACUUGGUGUAGCAGUGAAAUGCGUAGAUAUCAAGUGGAACACCAGUGGCGAAGGCGAGUCCCUGGACACUUCCUGACACUGAGGCACGAAAGCUAGGGGAGCAAACAGG
rnacentral:rRNA from 1 species